rnacentral:rRNA from 1 species
GACGAACGCUGGCGGCGUGCUUAACACAUGCAAGUCGAACGGAAAGGCCCUGCUUUUGUGGGGUGCUCGAGUGGCGAACGGGUGAGUAACACGUGAGUAACCUGCCCUUGACUUUGGGAUAACUUCAGGAAACUGGGGCUAAUACCGGAUAGGAGCUCCUGCUCCAUGGUGGGGGUUGGAAAGUUUCGGCGGUUGGGGAUGGACUCGCGGCUUAUCAGCUUGUUGGUGGGGUAGUGGCUUACCAAGGCUUAGACGGGUAGCCGGCCUGAGAGGGUGACCGGCGACAAUGGGACUGAGGGACGGACCAGACGGCUACGUGAGGCAGCGGUGGAGAGUAUGGCACAAUAGGCGGGAGCGAGAUGCAACGACGCCGGGUGCGUGAAGACGGCCUUCUGGUUAUGAACCGAUGUCUCCGGAGACGUAGCGUGAGUGACGGUAAUGGGUAAAGAAGCACCGGCUAACUACGUG